GACAGAGGGUGCAAGCGUUAUCCGGAAUGAUUGGGCGUAAAGCGUCCGCAGGUGGCAGUUCAAGUCUGCUGUCAAAGACCGGGGCUUAACUUCGGAAAGGCAGUGGAAACUGAACAGCUAGAGUAUGGUAGGGGCAGAGGGAAUUCCUGGUGUAGCGGUGAAAUGCGUAGAGAUCAGGAAGAACAUCGGUGGCGAAGGCGCUCUGCUGGACCAUAACUGACACUCAGGGACGAAAGCUAGGGGAGCGAAUGGG
rnacentral:rRNA from 1 species